AAUGAACGCUGGCGGCGUGCUUAACACAUGCAAGUCGCACGAGAACUCUUCAGCUUGCUGAAGAUAGUAAAGUGGCGCACGGGUGAGUAACGCGUGGGUAAUCUACCCUCGAAUCGGGGAUAACGUUGCGAAAGCGACGCUAAUACCGGAUGACAUCCGCGGGGUUUCGGCUCUGCGGAUCAAAGGUGGCCUCUCCAUGGAAGCUACUGUUUGAGGAUGAGCCCGCGUACCAUUAGCUUGUUGGUAGGGUAACGGCCUACCAAGGCGACGAUGGUUAGCUGGUCUGAGAGGAUGACCAGCCACACUGGAACUGACACACGGUCCAGACUCCUACGGGAGGCAG
rnacentral:rRNA from 1 species